rnacentral:lncRNA from 1 species
CUUGUAUCUCAAUUUGUCUUGACUUUUUCAUUAGCCGUAUCCUAUAGAUGGACAUGGGGGAAAAUAUUAUUAAUUUUUCCUUCCACUUCUACUUCCUAGAUGUGCAAGUUGAAGCAGAAGCAGGUGAAUGUAUUAUGUCUGUAUAUAGGAGGCCCUCAUAUGCUUCAGUUGUUGUUCCGGCUUGGUCUCGGGAUCCAGUCUCAUAUAAAUUGGCGACCUUUGGAGCCAUGAUCGUUGGAGCCUGUAUGCAUGUUGCUGAAUGGAAGGAGAGAAAAAACGAGUUGGACUAUAUAUUGACACAAGGAGA